rnacentral:rRNA from 1 species
UAAUACGUAGGUGGCAAGCGUUGUCCGGAAUUAUUGGGCGUAAAGCGCGCGCAGGCGGCUUCUUAAGUCUGAUGUGAAAUCUUGCGGCUCAACCGCAAGCGGUCAUUGGAAACUGGGAGGCUUGAGUGCAGAAGAGGAGAGUGGAAUUCCACGUGUAGAGGUGAAAUGCGUAGAGAUGUGGAGGAACACCAGUGGCGAAGGCGGCUCUCUGGUCUGUAACUGACGCUGAGGCGCGAAAGCGUGGGGAGCAAACAGGAUUAGAUACCCUGGUAGUCCACGCCGUAAACGAUGAGUGCUAAGUGUUAGAGGGUUUCCGCCCUUUAGUGCUGCAGCUAACGCAUUAAGCACUCCGCCUGGGGAGUACGGCCGCAAGGCUGAA